CACGUAGGGGGCGAGCGUUGUCCGGAUUUAUUGGGCGUAAAGAGCUCGUAGGCGGUUCGGCAAGUCGGGUGUGAAAUUUCGAGGCUCAACCUCGAAACGCCACUCGAUACUGCUGUGACUGGAGUCCGGUAGAGGAGUGCGGAAUUCCUGGUGUAGCGGUGAAAUGCGCAGAUAUCAGGAGGAACACCGAUGGCGAAGGCAGCUCGCUGGAACGGUACUGACGCUGAGGCGCGAAAGCGUGGGGAGCGAACAGG
rnacentral:rRNA from 1 species